rnacentral:lncRNA from 1 species
AGACGCUGGUGCCCUGGGUGCCGAGCCGGCAGCAGUGAGCGGGCGGGCCUCGGCCUCGGCAGUGGAUGGCUGGGGGGCACGGGACGACCAGGCAGCGGCGGUGGCACUCGGCACGCCUGCUGCAACCGUGUCACGCAGCAUACCUAGCAAUCAAGCGGCCAGCCGUUGAUGCUCACGCUGCCGCUAGCUGGACUGCGGCGCGCUGUGGCGGCGGCAGCAGCGCCGACCGGGCAGUGGGCGCUGCCCACAGCUUCUUUGGGGUGUACGGCAGCGCUGGCGGCGUGGUCCACGGUCGUGGGCGGUCGUUGGGACCGCAGACACAGCUGGCGCUGUGAUGUAGCGAUGUACACGAGGCGAGGGCCUCUGAGACCAAUCGCUGUGUUGCUUCCCCCGACAGUGCCAUGGCACGGCAGGGGCUUGAGGGUGGAGGGUAAGUGUGUGAGGAGAGCGAGGGAGUCCUUUUAUGUGCGGCACGUCUUGAAGGUGUUUGCUAGUGUAGCGGCUGGUGCGAGGGUAAGGCACGUUCGUGUUAGAUACACCGUUGACUCCAAUGUGUCUGACCCUUACUGGCGGGCGUUGUGCCACCAGGGAACCCGGGGCACCACCACAAAGGCCCCGGGAGUGCCGCCAGGAACGCAUACAUCUGUUGUUCUGGCUCAAUUUGCAAAGACAGAAUGCAGGAUUGACCUUUUAAAUGCCUGGUUUUUACUAUGGCGCUGUGUUUGUAAUGCAGUGAGGGGGUGGUGGGGUGGUCAUACUAUCUGCGUGCCCACGUUUUUGCACUGCCGGGGCUGGGUAGGGCCUGCUGGUUGCUGCGCAUGAUGCAAUGGAUGGCGGUGGAGCGCGGCGGCGGCGGCGGCGCACGGCCUGUGCCCAGCAGCGGCGGCGUGCAUGUGCGCAGCAGAGCCGGCAGGCAUGGCCACGUGGAGGAGGAGAGCGGUGCGCUGCCUGAGCAGCGGCGCCGUCGCGCAGGUUCAGAAGUGCUGGUGUCUGGUCUUUGUGGCGAGCAUAGCGUAGCGAUUUACUGCUAGGUGGUUUGUUGCGGGCUGAGCUUGUACUUGACAGCGGGGGGCGGCUCGACACAUGGCGGGUGGUGCCUGUACGAACCGACCCCGGCUUUGUCCGGGGGAUGAGGUAGUUUCGAAACCUUCGGCCUCGGACAUUGCACCAACGUGGCGUGGCCGCACAGCCCAAUUUUCCCCUGGAGACCUGCCUUGUCCGCACCCGUGGUUGUUGGCUUCCAGGAGUGGCAUGACUCCUUGGCGGGUCUACCAAGUGGAGUAGCUGCAAAGACAGCUUGUGACGGCGUUCUGCCUUUGAGAGAAGUCAGUGUUGUGCUUGAGGGGGCGAUCACUCGCAUUGCAUAGCUGAGCCGUGCUGGGCAGGCGGGCGAGGGGGAGGGGGAGGGGGAGGGGCGGUGGUGGACUGGAGGUAGGACUGGAGGUACGGGAGGAGGUAGGGCAGGCGGUAGCGGCGGUAGGGGAGGCAGGAGCGCUGGGUGGUGGAGCGCUGGCACUGGCGCAGGCGGGGGCUGUUGAGGGUCAGACCCAGGGGUGCAGGCGGCGGCAUUUUGAUUUGCGUGUCGGCACGGCGUGUUCACUUGAAUGCAGUCAGGUGGAGGCAAGGCUUGACGUGUAUUGAGUGAUUCGGUUAUGCGGACAGUCACGCGGAAACGCGGGUGUAGCGCCGAGCUGGGGGACACGAGGCGCCGAGCCGGGGGUGCGGGGCGCCAGUCCAGAGCGUGGGGGCCAUCGUCGCGAGGCCCAGGCAUCGCGGAUGAGACAGGUAAGGCCAGCACGCCAAAUAUUCUGGUGGAGCGCCGAGCGCGGACACUACAUUGCUUAAUUACCCGCAUUGCUGCGUCGCAAACGCUCUUUCAGUCAGUGCCAACGAUACUGCCCCGCGCGGUUGCGCGUUCUUACCUGCUUUCCUGCGCGAACGAAACGGCAGCCCUUAGGAUUCCUAUUAAAUGUGAUUCAUAUCACCACUCGCACAUUUUACCACAGGCCUACAGCUCGUCGCUGGCUGGCCUAUGUUGCUGACGCGGCUGAGUCGACCCGCGGCAGCAGGUACACUGCUUCUGCGUGGUUGCAAUAAUUUAGGACUGCGCUAGAGUGCAAGCGCGGCGCUCACGAAGCUGACCAGCCGAGGCCCGUCGCAUGCAGGCACGCCGGGCAUGCGCGCAACUCCGCAUGUGCGGCAUGGCGCCUGCCUUGGUUCACACUGGCGUGGAUGUGGAACGGCGAGCCACGGGCGCGCCUGGCGUGUCGCGGCCGCGUGCCACCUGCCCGAGGGGAGCGCGGGAGCCACCCCGGGAGUCGGGUGAGUCGGCGCCUGUUGCAGCGCCAACUGCUGUAACAUAGUUUGCGAAUGCAUGCUCGCAAGUAACAGCACCGAAUGCACCCUGCACGCAGGUCGCCGCCUGCAGCUGCAGCAGGGCAGGUGGGAAGACCCAGGGGACAAACUUUGCAACGCUUCUCAAGAAGGGCGUGUAGUGCGCGCAGGGGUUUACUAGUAUUGCGUUAAAGCUUUCAACCUGGUGAACGCUUUUCUUCAUUGUACUCAAUACCCUCGCUCUGCUGACAGGUGAGGCAGCAUACUGAUGCCCUGCGCCCCGCCCACCAACUCGAGGUCACGGCCUACCUCCAAUACCAGCCAGGCCGCUAGCUUGCCCGCCGCUACCUCGUGCACGUGUGGCGGCAGCCCGGGAGGCAGCACGCACUUCGCCACACUGGCCGCAUCCUUCAGGACCACGCUUCCGCGGGCGCCGUUGUUGGAGGCCGUCUCCUGCUUCUGCUGCUCGCGAUCACGCAGCGCCCUGCCCACGACGGCCUUCACUAGUAUUGCGGUUGUGUCUUCAAUCCGGCGAAGGCUUGUCAUAACAGGGUUCAGCUUCCGAUCGAGCAUCGCCGCGAAAGCUUUAGCGCAAUACUAGUGGAGGCCGUCGCGGGCAGGGCGCUGCGUGAUCACGAGCAGCAGAAGCAGGAGGCGGCCUCCAACAACGGCGCCCGCGGAAGCGUGGUCCUGAAGGAUGCGGCCAGUGUGGUGAAGUGCGUGCUGCCUCCCGGGCUGCCGCCACACGUGCACGAGGUGGCGGCGGGCAAGCUGGCGGCCUGGAUGGUAGAGGAGGUAGGCCGUGACCUUGAGUUGGUGGGCGGGGCGCAGGGCAUCAGUAUGCUGCCUCACCUGUCAGCAGAGCGAGGGUAUUGGCGUGCAUGUGAUGCAUGCCCCAGGGGCAUGUAUGGAUGCCCGAUGGGUGCCUAGACAGCAGGCACAGUCCGUGCUGGCGGCCGUCUCUGCCCUACCGCGCCAUGUAACAGCGCCGCACCCGCCAUGCAGGACCGGGGCCUACGUGCUAUCCUGGAGUCGGAGCUGCGUGCGGUCCCUUCCAGGCUCACCAAUAAAGCAAACGCGCAGUGGAAGGCGGCAGCGGCGAGUGCCGCCCAGGUGUGCGACUGGGGCGGGACGGGAUGAGUAGGGGGUUGCUUGCGGGCUGGGCUUGUGCUCCGUGCUGCACGCUGCUGUGUGCUGUGGUUCGAGCAUGUGUGCAUGGAUUCAUCAAAAGCAGUUGGCAAAAGGCCAAACACCCAGGGCAUUGCGCCAGCGGCUUAUGGCACUGCCUUUGUAAGUUUCAGCCGCGAGCCAGCCCACGCACGACAUCCUUGCCGUUGCUGGUCGUGCGUGGUCGUGCAGUGGCAAGUAAAACCCCGAAGCCCCUCCUGCCAUGCUCCGUCUGAUGAUGUCGUGUGCAGGCGGCAUUGGCAGUGCUGCAAGGUGCUGCGUGUGGGCAGCAGAACUACUCGCCGGCGCUGGACGCCCUCAAGUGCUGCGCGGACCGCCUGCCUGUCUCCCUGCAGCUGCUGGACACCUAUGCCACCAGUGACCGGGACACGGCCCUGGCGCUGAUGCGCGGCGAGCUGUGCGUGGCCGCCCUGACGGCGCUGCACCCGCUCAGCAGCGGCGAGGCCUCCUCGACCGCCACACAGCUGCAGGUGGACCGCCUGCUGCCGCUGCGCGUGUGUGCAGAGACCGGCGGCGGUAAAGGCGGCAGCAACAGUCGCAGCGGCAGCGGCAGUGGGGGCGGGGACGGCGACGGCGACGGCAGCGGGGACGGAAGCGGGGACGGCGAGGGCGAGGGCAACGGCGGCAGCACCUCUGGGCCCCGUGUUGGACCCGGGGUCACGGCCGUGCUGGAGAUCCAGCAGAUCAAGUCCAGCAGCGCAGGUACGUGGGUGUUGCGAGUGCGCUUGAAGACAUGGACCGGGCAUGCAUGGGCGGGGCGACCGUAUAUGUGGAAAGCGCACGUCCGCCCCACAGCUGGAGCGUUCCUUUGGCCCUAAUCAUGGCGCCGCGUGCACGUGUAGGCGUUUUGUGCUCGUGUUCUCGGUAAUUGCGUGUUGUCUGGGCGGGCAUAUGUCAACUCCAGAAUUGUCCGUCCACUUUCAUAAAAUUUCAGGCGGUUGAGGCUCGGUUAACAUGCUCCCUGGCCCGGUACGACACAGGUCUUUCGACGGCGCGGGCGCAAGUGGCCCUGUGCGGCCGCAUCUUUGCGUGCACGUAUAGCGUCCUACGGGAGCGGCUGUCGGAGGCGUUGGCCAACGCCGAGGUGCAGCUGCCGCCGGAGCUGCGGCUGCAGGCCACGAUCGCGCUCGGCCAGGACGGCGAGCCCGGAGCCAGCGAGGAGCAGCGCCCGCCGCAGCUGGAGCUGUCCACCGCCGACGGCGGCCGGCCCCUGAUGCAGAUGCAGUACUUGGUCCUGGCGGCGGAGACGCUGGUGCCCUGGGUGCCGGGCCGGCAGCAGUGAGUGGGCGGGCCUCGGCCUCGGCAGUGGAUGGCUGGGGGGCACGGGACGACCAGGCAGCGGCGGUGGCACUCGGCACGCCUGCUGCAACCGUGUCACGCAGCAUACCUAGCAAUCAAGCGGCCAGCCGUUGAUGCUCACGCCGCCGCUAGCUGGGCUGCGGCGCGCUGUGGCGGCGGCAGCAGCGGCGACCGGGCAGUGGGCGCUGCUCACAGCUUCGU